UACGUAGGGUGCAAGCGUUGUCCGGAAUUAUUGGGCGUAAAGAGCUCGUAGGCGGUUUGUCGCGUCUGCUGUGAAAACUCGGGGCUCAACUCCGAGCUUGCAGUGGGUACGGGCAGACUAGAGUGCGGUAGGGGAGACUGGAAUUCCUGGUGUAGCGGUGGAAUGCGCAGAUAUCAGGAGGAACACCGGUGGCGAAGGCGGGUCUCUGGGCCGUAACUGACGCUGAGGUGCGAAAGCGUGGGGAGCAAACAGG
rnacentral:rRNA from 1 species